rnacentral:rRNA from 1 species
UGGGGAAUAUUGCACAAUGGGCGCAAGCCUGAUGCAGCCAUGCCGCGUGUAUGAAGAAGGCCUUCGGGUUGUAAAGUACUUUCAGCAGUGAGGAAGGUGGGUAUGUUAAUAGCAUAUUCAUUUGACGUUAGCUGCAGAAGAAGCACCGGCUAACUCCGUGCCAGCAGCCGCGGUAAUACGGAGGGUGCGAGCGUUAAUCGGAAUUACUGGGCGUAAAGCGCAUGCAGGUGGUUUGUUAAGUCAGAUGUGAAAGCCCGGGGCUCAACCUCGGAAUUGCAUUUGAAACUGGCAAACUAGAGUACUGUAGAGGGGGUAGAAUUUCAGGUGUAGCGGUGAAAUGCGUAGAGAUCUGAAGGAAUACCGGUGGCGAAGGCGGCCCCCUGGACAGAUACUGACACUCAGAUGCGAAAGCGUGGGGAGCAAACAGGAUUAGAUACCCCGGUAG